UUAUGGGUACUGAUUAAUUUUUAGAUUUAGUUAUUUUUUGUUUGGUUUGGAAAAUAGCUAUUGUAAUAAAGUAGAAAGCAUUUUUGGGAUCCUAGCCUAGAGAGACUGUCUUAAAUUAUCAGGUUUUAAUCGGGUACACUCGAAAUUUUCUAAAAUAUAAGGAUGACCAAACAAAUUUAUAAAAAACCCUGAACAAGAACAAUUUCAAAGCAGAUUCUCAACACGCUACUUAAGUUGAAAAGUCAAAGUCAAAAAUGGUCAAAACUCAAUAUGGAGAAUUAUGUUUGACUUAUUCAAUUAGAUGUUAGGUAGAAGUAUACAAAACAUAACAAACUAUAUAUAUAACACAUGAAAAACCUAAAUAGAACAAGUUAAACCAUCAACCAGAGAUUCCUGAGAAAUUCAAUUAAUCAAAUUCAUUAUAUUGCAAUUAUCCGAUCUCAGUUAUCCAAUCUCUAUAAUCUAAACCAUCAACCAGAGGUUCCUGAGAAAUUCAAAGUUACAGAACAAAUGGGACUACUACUUGCAGGGCUACUGAUCUUUGCAUUCAGCAUAGUUUUAUCUCCUGGAAUAGAAUUACAGUUACCAGAAUCCUUUCCGUUCUGUUUGCUCAUCUGUUGUUGACCUUGGUCCUACUCAUCCAGAAGUGUCAUAUUUCAUUGUAUCUCCAAGUACUGGUAAACAUACACAGAAAGUGAAGAAUUUUGUGGCUACAAAAGGCAGGUGAACGAGUGUUUUAUAAUGAAAUUGGUAAACCAGUUGUCUAGAAUAAAGAUGGGACCAUGUCAAUGGAUUUUGUAUACUAUAUGCCAUUACCCCGAUGUCAAGUGGUUCUACUUCUACCUAGAUUAGGCUUGAGAAGAUAGAAUGUAUGCAAUUGCGUCCUUGUAACAAUAAAUCUAAUGUAUAUGUUGUAAUAAAAGUAAUCCAGAGUAUAUGUUGUAAAUAAAUUCCACCCACCAUUAUUCUAUACAAAGAGAAGUUCAACAUGUUUCCAUAAAGGAGAUUUCAAAAGAAUGCAACAAGCUAACAAGUCACGACAUAAAUUUUACAGCAGCUCGAAAUUAAAGCUUUAGAAAGAGAAUUUUACCACAUCACUUCAUAUUAUGGUUUGCCCCUAUAUGGUGGUAGGUCUAAGGCACCAAAUGCAAGCAACUCCUAAAACCCAAUCAAACAGAACUAUUCUAAACAAGGUGAAAAUUCUUAAGAAAACAGAAUGCGCCACAAUGAAACAAACUAUACUACAAAGAGAAGAAGAAAGAUCUAGACUAUAAAGUAUAAACACUCUAAAGUCUGACCUAAAUCAUUGGAAUUUCACCACAACUAAAUAGUGUCAUUUGUACAUUUGAACCUCAAGCCUCAAGGCUCAAAUGAGCAAGAAAGGCAAGAGAAUAUGGACCUAAACCUAAAGUAAUGCCAGCAUUAUUUGUAAUACUCAAAAAAAGACUUUAUAGAAUUUCUGAAACCUAAAUCUAAAUAAAGUCUGCUUCCCGAGAAUGGAAUGAAUGACAUUCUGAAACAUGAUAUAUCUACUCUAUUCUCUGAUUUCAUAUGCUCAUAUCACAUAUGUUUGUUCCAGACUUUCUAGCUCUUUUAAUAUGUGCAAUCUGUAAAGCUAGAUAUGUGACUCACCAAAAAAUUCCACAACUACUUCUUUACAAUUUUCCAUGGAUGUCAGGGAAAUCAAGAAAUCCAUUUGUCUAUUCUGGUUAAAAACAAGGCCGUCGGCACAUUGUAUCAUAUUGGCUGAGAAAUAAAGUUUUAAAUCUACCGAUUUGAUAAUAUCCAAAUUGUAAAAGGAUAAAAUCCGCAAUUUAAGCCGAAUCAAUGGUUAUCUCAUGGUCUCAGCAAUAUUUGGUGUGACAGCAAUAGCAUCACCCCUUUUACCGCAUCAUCAUGACCAUUAACACAAGGAUUAUUAAAAUCUAAUUCAAAAUUUCUUCCCUAUGGACAUAACUUUACACCAUCGGAAACAAACAUACUUGGAAAAAAAAUCACUUUGGUCAACAACAUAAAUAUGUGAAAGCCACCUCAACGACCAAUCAACAAAAAUUCCAAAGUUAAAAAAAAUACACUUUAUAAACAAAAUGAGAGAAUCUGGUAAUCGGCUCAAAAUAGUUUGAUUUAAAGGAAGCAUGUUUUAGAAAUGCUACGUAGCUACAGACAAAAAGAAAGAUGUAACCCUCGACAACUACCAUGAAGGAGGUCAUACAAUUAAAAUAUAUAAAAAGUACGAUAUAUGAUCUUGAUCUAUGACGUUUCCUUCCACAUUUAGAUCAAAUCCAUCUAUUGGCUUAUGCUGAACACUCAUCUAAGCUUGUUUAAAUCUUAGCAAUUCACUAUCCACCAACACAAAAACUCCCGCAUGUACAAGUGAGCCUUGUUUGUCUCCAAUACAUCACACGCAUUCAGCCAAUAUCAUCACAUUCCAGCCAGAUUAUACAAAUAUACCACUUAUCCAAUCAAGCAUGAGCGCAAGGUGAAUACUUCAACAAUAGCCAUGAAGUUACUGCCAGUGACCCAGUAUUGAAGAAAGAACACUAAAGUAGUUGCUUUCAACAUACUUUAUAAUGAGCAUUCAUAUUAUACAUUCAACUAGAAUAGAAUCCAAAAGCCAGUCAAUUAUACAUAGAGAAGAAAAUCUUACAACACUAAUAUGCAGACAAGAUACA